AUGAAAAUUUUACAANUUAAUUGCAGCAUUUUCAUUCCUUGCUGUAUUUGGAGUUGUACAAUCAUUUACUCCGGAUGAAUUUCAAGAUGCUGUGUGCUCAAUACCCGAUAAAUAUCUACUCAGAUUUCUAAAUUGCACUAUUAAUCGUGCCCCAAAAAUCGUUCAAAAGGCAGCCGAUGUCAUGCAUGAAUGCGUAGAUUCAUUUUAUGAAGUCGAUGGAAAAUUGGAUGCUCUUUUAACAGUUUCUUGUGAUAAUAAUGUACAGGCAGACAAGGAUAUUGGUGAAUGUUUCGAUGAAAAAGCCGAGGAUCUAGGCAACCCAGACCGACAAGAUAUUUCAACAA